AGCUACAAUGACAAAGCUGAUCCUAUAUUUACAGUUCUGUAUAAGAAAGGACCGAAUCUGCUGCCAUGAUUUAGGAGUUCUAAUGGCUAUUCUUAACUCCUUCUGAAAGAGGGGAUUUCAAACGCAUAAAACGAGUCGCAGGCGGACAAAGUUGUCAAAAAAAAAGAAAAAAAGAAUAAGAAACAAACGAAAGCAAACACAAACAGUAUUUUCUUAGGUGAGUUUGUGCCCCACCAUUUGUGUUUGUUUAGAGCCUAGCUCAAAUGCUGCAACCACAGAAGACAAAGAAGAGACACAUGGUCACCACCAACGCGAGCGUCUCGAAUGCGACGACAAAGGCCCACAGGAUGCUGUCGAUGAACGAAAAACCGAUCCCCGGCCACCGUGACACCGUGCCAGCCCAGCUUGGGGCGAGCCCGGAGAGGUCGAACGAUGGCCACCGGAAGAUGGAGCUCGUCAUGCUCCAAUUAAGGCUGGAGACGGUAGCUCCCAUUCAUCGGAGUAUUGACUGAGGUGAUGAAGCUAGAUCCUCCCAUCUCUCGUUCUCACCGUCUUCUAUGGGUCUUGGUAUUGGUAUAUGCGAUCGAAG
rnacentral:lncRNA from 1 species